CAAGUAAUUCAUUCAUGAAUUGUACUGAGAUUUACAAUUCGUAGAUAUUGUGUGGCAUACUGCAUGGGUUAUGUGAUUUAAAAGGAAUUAGAGGAAUUUAGAAUAGAAUGGAAUACUUAUCCCAUACGUUCCAACUCAAAACCUUACUUUCAUCUGGCAUUCCCAACAAUAUGUAUGAGAUGCCAAAUAGCUAUGGAGUGAGUGACUUCCUGCAUUCAGUUCAUAACAUAUCAAUCUGGAUUUAUGCUAUGGAGAAGGAAAGUAAAGCUAUUCCAAGGUUUUAUUCACAUAUAUUUGAGAUAUGAGCUAACCAAUUACUAAGAGAUAUUGGGAUUAAUAAAAGUGACAUAACUGCUGAAAACUGUGUAUCUAUUAACAAGUAUUUGAUCAACAAUGUUUGAUGAUUAAAUGUGUCAGUUGAAGAGUUUGUUAAGUG